CCGAAAAUAAGUAAAACACAUUUGCAGACACCAAAUCAUUGUGGGAGAAUGGGUUCAGCCUCAGGGUGAAGUGCACCAAUUGUAUACAAAUUACUCUUAAACUCUGGUCAACCCAAAGGGCAAAGACUCAUUAAGCCUUAUGUUUUCAUCCCACAGGGGUAUAUAUAAGACCUGCUAGGAGACGGAAUGCCCAAGGGGCAAUAUUCCCCGAUAGGGCCCUGCCAGACUGGUAGCGACCUCCUCUAACAUCAACGUGAACCAAGGGGUCAUAAUCCCCUUGGACAGUACCUACAAUUCGACUGAUUUAUAUUUACAUAAAUAACCUGAGUCUAUGGGCCUGAAGUUGACCAUUGGGAACACUUCAACCCCACAAAUACACAGAAUGUGUUUGAACCUUGGACUAUUGGAUAUCGCCUUAUUGUGGCUGUUGACAGGUUUGAAUGUGACAAACUUAUUGUCUCGUUAACUUUAAUUCAUAUAUUGUUAUAUGUACAUAAAUUUGCCUAAAAUUUGGUAAUUAACCAUGUCAAACAGGCUACAGAAGUGUGUAAUAACCAUAUUGUAAAGCGUGAACUGUAAUUAAGAAAUGUAUUUCAUAAAUCGGAA